AGUGAACGCUGGCGGCGUGCCUAAUACAUGCAAGUCGAACGGAGAUUAAGUAGCUUGCUAUUUAAUCUUAGUGGCGCACGGGUGAGUAAUAUAUAGCUAACUUGCCCAUUACUAAGGGACAACAGUUGGAAACGACUGCUAAUACCUUAUACUCCGUAUCUAUAUAAGUAGAUACGGGAAAGUUUUUCGGUAAUGGAUAGGGCUAUAUCGUAUCAGCUAGUUGGUAAGGUAAUGGCUUACCAAGGCUAUGACGCGUAACUGGUCUGAGAGGAUGAUCAGUCACACUGGAACUGAGACACGGUCCAGACUCCUACGGGAGGCAGCAGUAGGGAAUAUUGCUCAAUGGGGGAAACCCUGAAACAGCAACGCCGCGUGGAGGAUGACACUUUUCGGAGCGUAAACUCCUUUUCUUGGGAAAGAAUUAUGACGGUACCCAAGGAAUAAGCACCGGCUAACUCCGUG
rnacentral:rRNA from 1 species